rnacentral:rRNA from 1 species
GGAUGUGAUCAUACUAGCACUAAAGCACCGGAUCCCAUCAGAACUCCGAAGUUAAGCGUGCUUGGGCGAGAGUAGUACUAGGAUGGGUGACCUCCUGGGAAGUCCUCGUGUUGCAUUCC